rnacentral:rRNA from 1 species
UACGUAGGUGGCAAGCGUUGUCCGGAUUUAUUGGGCGUAAAGCGCACGCAGGCGGUUGGAUAAGCGAGAUGUGAAAGCCCCCGGCUCAACCGGGGAGGGUCAUUGGAAACUGGGAGACUUGAGUGCAGAAGAGGAGAGUGGAAUUCCAUGUGUAGCGGUGAAAUGCGUAGAUAUAUGGAGGAACACCAGUGGCGAAGGCGGCUCUCUGGUCUGUAACUGACGCUGAGGCUCGAAAGCGUGGGGAGCAAAC